rnacentral:misc_RNA from 1 species
UCGAUGGCCGCCGUGACCUCCCCGGGAUCGGCUGGCUAUUUGACCACACCCUUACUUUACGCGUACCUUUUGUUCUCCUUCGGCGGGGCAACCCGCCGCUGGAACGUAACAGAACCUUUUGUAUCUAGUAUUACCUGUUCCGAUAACCAUAAUCGUUA